rnacentral:rRNA from 1 species
UACGUAGGGGCCAAGCGUUGUCCGGAUUUAUUGGGCGUAAAGAGCUCGUAGGCGGUUCGGCAAGUCAGCUGUGAAAUCUCCACGCUCAACGUGGAGGGGUCAGCUGAUACUGCUGUGACUCGAGUCCGGUAGGGGAGUGUGGAAUUCCCGGUGUAGCGGUGAAAUGCGCAGAUAUCGGGAGGAACACCAAUGGCGAAGGCAGCUCGCUGGGACGGUACUGACGCUGGAGGCGCGAAAGCGUGGGGAGCAAACAGGG